rnacentral:misc_RNA from 1 species
UUAAAAUGUACUGUACUUUUAACUACGAAUACGGACAAUACUCAACAUGUAUUGUACUUGUAACUAUGACGAUGAACCAAUCUCUACGUUAACUCCUAAGGUUACUAAAGCUAAGUACUCGUUUAUAGCUUCACCUUCUUCUGUGACCUCAAUGUCGUAGUCAGAGUAAGCAUCACCUUUUAGCAACUCGCCAGUAAUCUCAUCUUCCAUUUCUACAUCACGCGUCUCAACUUUGUUCUGACUUGGACCUCCAUUACUACUUGAGCCUGCGUUAGUACCUGAUCCAUCUUCACUUUGGUCAUUAGUUUGAGGAUCAUUCGCG